GCGAACGCUGGCGGCAGGCCUAACACAUGCCAGUCGCACGAACUCUUCGGAGUUAGUGGCGGACGGGUGAGUAACACGUGGGAACGUGCCUUUUGGUUCGGAAUAACUCAGGGAAACUUGUGCUAAUACCGAAUGUGCCCUUCGGGGGAAAGAUUUAUCGCCAUUAGAGCGGCCCGCGUCUGAUUAGCUAGUUGGUGAGGUAACGGCUCACCAAGGCGACGAUCAGUAGCUGGUCUGAGAGGAUGACCAGCCACACUGGGACUGAGACACGGCCCAGACUCCUACGGGAGGCGGCAGUGGGGAAUCUUGCGCAAUGGGCGAAAGCCUGACGCAGCCAUGCCGCGUGAAUGAUGAAGGUCUUAGGAUUGUAAAAUUCUUUCACCGGGGACGAUAAUGACGGUACCCGGAGAAGAAGCCCCGGCUAACUUCGUG
rnacentral:rRNA from 1 species